AGUGAACGCUGGCGGUAGGCCUAACACAUGCAAGUCGAACGGCAGCACAGUAAGAGCUUGCUCUUACGGGUGGCGAGUGGCGGACGGGUGAGGAAUACAUCGGAGUCUACUUUUUCGUGGGGGAUAACGUAGGGAAACUUACGCUAAUACCGCAUACGACCUACGGGUGAAAGCAGGGGAUCUUCGGACCUUGCGCGAUUGAAUGAGCCGAUGUCGGAUUAGCUAGUUGGCGGGGUAAAGGCCCACCAAGGCGACGAUCCGUAGCUGGUCUGAGAGGAUGAUCAGCCACACUGGAACUGAGACACGGUCCAGACUCCUACGGGAGGCAGCAGUGGGGAAUAUUGGACAAUGGGCGCAAGCCUGAUCCAGCCUUACCGCGUGGGUGAAGAAGGCCUUCGGGUUGUAAAGCCCUUUUGUUGGGAAAGAAAAGCAGCAGGUUAAUACCCCGCUGUUCUGACGGUACCCAAAGAAUAAGCACCGGCUAACUUCGUG
rnacentral:rRNA from 1 species